GUAGUAUUCCCUCCGUCCCAAAAUUGUUGUCUUACAUUUGUUUAGAUACGAAUGUAUCUAACACUAAAAUGUAACUAGAUACAUCCGUAUUUAGACAAAUUUAAGACAAGAAUUUUGGGACGGAGGGAGUACAAA
rnacentral:pre_miRNA from 1 species